rnacentral:tRNA from 1 species
GGGGGGGGUGGGGUAUAAGUCAUCCUAUAUCGACGACAUCAGCCUGCUGAUGAGCUCCCACACGAAUUGCUUGAUUCAUUGUCUAAGACCAUCAAUACCCUAUAUCCGUCUGUAGCUCCUUUGGCUAAAGCGCACCCCUGAUAACGGUGAGGUCGGCGAUUCAAAUCUGCCCAAACCUACCAAUAUGCGGGGCCAUAUGUCACCUGGGAGAGCGCCUGCCUUGCUCGCAGGACGUCAGCGGUUCCAUCCCGCUUGGCUCCACCACUCGCUUACUUGAUCAGAACUUAUAAAUGAUCAUUCAGAUCGAAUGUUGAUUUCUGACUUUUGUCAGAUCGUUCUUUAAAAAUUCUGAUAUGUGAUAUAUAGACUGACACGCACUUUCACUGGUGUGAUGUCAGGCUAAGGUAAAAUUUGUGAGUUCUGCUCUUAAUUGAGCAACAUGGGAAUUUUCGGCAAAUGUCGUCUUCACUGUAUAACCAGAUUGCUUGGGGUUUAUGUUUGGGUCUCCCAAGUAUACCCAGAUUGCUUGGGGUUAUAUAUGGGUCAAAAA